AAAAAUCAAUUUGCCUCCAUCUCUUGUGCCUAACAUGAUGCUUAGAUUUGAUCUGAAAAGCGUUGCAAUGGAAGCCAGCGCUCCCUACAGAAUGAUCACACCCCCGGAUCAAAAUUUCUAGCUUGAUGAUGGAGGAUUAAUUUUCCAACAUGAACCAAAAGGAAACCGCACUCAGGGUUGGCCAAUGUUUCCAAGAUGUAGUUUCAGCAGGCAAGGAUUCCCCCUGGGAAUUCAAGACUCUUUGACCAUCCUCCAUAUAUUGUUAUGUUUGCAUUGAAAAUGGAUUGCCAGUACUCAACCUUCAUCAUUUCACUUUAAUACCCA